AUCUCCAACUCAUUGUUGGCAACAGUCUUAAAUGUAAUUAGUAUAGCAGUGCUAAUCUCAUGUCAUGUCUCGUGAGGAACUUCUUCCAUCCUUGCUUGAAGAAUAAACCGUCGAGUGAGGUGUCAUAAACGGUCCUCCUGAAGCUCUCUUUGCCCAAUCUUAGUCUUGCCAGCCCGUGCUUUGGGGUGUCCAAACAAGAGGCAACUUCUUUUGGAAUUUUCUAGGUGGCCCGUAAUGUACACACACAAAAAAUGUGUGAGGACCCCAGUUAGAAAACUGUGGAAAAACAAAAACUGAGGAAAUAGUGAAAACUUACAUACACCAUCAUCUGUACUUCAGCGUUAGUCCUAGUAAAGCGGUGUAUGAAGGACGACCAUGUGACCCAUGGCAGAGCGGCAAUAGGUUGCACAAUUUACCUAUGGCAUAAUAACAAUUAGCUAAUUGAACUGUGUAUGAAAAAAUACAAGACAAAAUGGGGAAAAGACACAACAAAUAUGUCCCAAAAAAGGACCAGCCACUCUGUGAACCGUGUUUCGAAAACAAUUGACAACUUUGAAACUUUCAGCUAGAAUACCGAUUAAUGGAGCUAGAAUAUCGAUUAAUGGACAAAUUGUAGCGACACAAAAAUUGAAAUGAAAGUUCUAGGAUAGGUGAAGCGCUGCAAGCAUGUAUGUAGCUCUGAGCAUAAAAAUCAGUCAAAAAUUCUUACGUGUAUCAAUCUAGUUUGGAACACCCUACUCUGAGUUUCCAUCAGAUCAAGAGCACUGCUAUGUUUUUGCAAAAAUCUUGUCAAGCUAAAAUCUGCCCCUUAGAAAGCGGCAAGUAGCCAAUGGAAACACAUAUCAUAGCUGAUCAACAAACAGGUCAUUUUGUCUACUAAUACAUUCAAGCAUCAGUCGAAUUGGCAAAUUGACAAUACAGAGAAUGGCAAGAUUGGUAAAUGAAUAGUCAUUUCUCUUAGUUCCUUUCAGGCUCAUCUGGUUUGACAGUCUGGCAAAUGAGCAGUUCAUCAACAAUAGUAAUACCAAAGCCAAAUGAAUAGUCAUUUCUCUUAGUUCCUUUCAGGCUCAUCUGGUUUGACAGUCUGGCAAAUGAGCAGUUCAUCAACAACAGUAAUACCAAACCCAUAUCCAUCUCACCGUACUUAUGCACGAACAUGGAGCAUGGCAACUUAC
rnacentral:lncRNA from 1 species